rnacentral:lncRNA from 1 species
AUAUAUAUAUACAUAUAGUGAUUUUUUUAUUUAAUAAUAAUAUUAAAAAUAUUUUUAUGUUUUCAUAUGUAUAUAUAUGUAUAUAUAAUUGCAAGGGUCAUGACAAGAAACAUGAUACCAAAUUGCUUGGUAUCAUAUUAUAUGGUUAUGAUAAUUUGUAUUCAUGUUCUUAAAAUAUAUGUAUACUUUACUUUAUUUACU